rnacentral:lncRNA from 1 species
CCCUUCCUUCGGCCCCGCCCAGCCCCGCCGGCCGCCCGCUCCCUGGGGAACCGAGGGAGGAAUGGGCGGGGUCCUCAGCUGAACAGGAAAAGGAACAGUCCUUCCAAAGUGCCUACGGAAAGCUUUGUCCCAUCCUUGAAAAAUUGCUAAUGGGUUUGGAGAUACGAGGUGGAGAUGACUAGCAAUCAAACUCAAAGGUGGAAGUCACAUCGAGGCAGAUGAGCAGAUGAGGGGACCUAGAGAAGAAGAGAGGUGCAAGGAGAGCCCAGCCAGCAGGAACAUCUGCCCCAGUAGGCAGCACUGCCCCACAUCAGAGUCGAGGAAAGCAAAGCUCGGAUUGGAUAAAAGAAACUUGCAAACACGGUCAGUGCUUACUGCAUGUGGGCUCAGAGCACGUUACCCUCCUUCCCUGCAUGUUCCUGUGAAACGGGUUUACUGCUCUAACUCUCAGGGACACUGUGAAGACCAAACGAGAAAAUAGAAACAAACAUAAUUUAUAAACCAUAAAGUACUGACACCAAAAGAGGGGCGAGCACAGCAUUGUGAAUGUGCUGGUACUAAAUGGUUUGUUUUAAGAUGAUUUUAUGGUGUGUGAAUUUCACUUGAAUAAAUUUUUUUAAUGGAGUUCAUGGGGACGCUGCAGGAUGUCAAUUAACUUUGGACAUUUUAGCAGCGCUUUAGGUGUUAAAAUUAUUUUUUAAAAAAUACAGGAUGAAGGGAAAAGCUUCAUGACAUUGGAUUUGGCAGUGAUUCCUUGGAUAUGACCCCAAAAGCACAGAUAACGAAAGAAAAAAUAGUUAAAUUGUCUUCAUCAAAAUUAAAACUUUUGUACAUCAAAGAACUCUUUCAAAAGAGUGAAAAAGUCACAGAAUAAGAGAAAAUCAUAUACCUGAUAAAGAAUUAAUAUUCAGAGCCAGAUGCAGUGGCUCAUGCCUGUAAUCCCAGCACUUUGGGAGGCCAAGGCAGGCAGAUCACUUGAGAUCAGGAGUUCGAGACAAGCCUGGCUAAAAUGGUGAAACCCCAGCUCUACUAAAAAUACAAAAAUUAGCCAGGCGUGGUGGCGUGCACCUGGAAUCCCAGCUAUUCGGGAGGCUGAGGCAGGAGAAUCGCUUGAACUCAGAAGGCAGAGGUUGCAGUGAGCCAAGAUCACACCACUGCACUCCAGCCUGGGCGACAAAGUGAGACUCCAUCUCAAAAAAACAAAACAAAACAAAACAAAACAAAGAGUUACUAUUCAGAAUAUAUUAAGAAUUCCUACAACUCAACAACAAAAAAAAAUCCAACCCAAUUAAAAAAUGGGCAACAGACCCAAAUAGACAUUUCUUAGAAGACACACAAAUGGCCAAUAAGCUCAUGAAAACAUGUUUAACAUCACUAAUCAUUAGGGAAAUGCAAAUCAAAGCUAAAAUGAGAUACCACGUCACACUCAUUAGGUGUUAUUUUUUAAAAAUAACACAACAACAAAAAAUAAGAAAUGUGGGCGAGGAUGUGAAGAAAUUGAAACCCUUGUGGACUGUUGUUGGGGAUGUAAAAUGGCGCAGCUGCUGGGGAAAACAGUAUGGGAGUUCCUCACAAAACUAAACAGAAUUGCCAAACGACCCAGCGAUCCUGCCUCUGACAUAUACUGGAAAGAACUGAAAUAAGGCGCUGGAACAGACACUUGUAACCCAUGUUCACAGCUGAGCCAAAAGGUGGGAGUAACCCAAAUGUCCAUCAGUGGAUGAAUACUGGCAAUAAAAGCUGUGUCUGGAGGCCACUCCGUUUCACACAGCUCUCCACACGGGUGAGGGCACAGCCUUCUCGUCUCUUUCCUAUGCUGCAUCUUCAGAGCUAGCUAUGAUAUGAUAUGAUGUGAUAUGUACAUAUCGAAUAUACAUGUUUUACAUGCAAA